UCAAUGUGGCGAACCGAGCGUCAGCGAGGUUUCGCGAUCAUUUGUAUUUAAAACCCAACUCUUAAUAUAAUUUAUAUUAUUAUAUGAAUCAUAUAAAAAAGA
rnacentral:misc_RNA from 1 species